rnacentral:rRNA from 1 species
UACGUAGGGUGCAAGCGUUGUCCGGAAUUAUUGGGCGUAAAGAGCUCGUAGGCGGUCUGUCGCGUCUGCUGUGAAAACUCGGGGCUUAACCCCGGGCCUGCAGUGGGUACGGGCAGACUAGAGUGCGGUAGGGGAGACUGGAAUUCCUGGUGUAGCGGUGAAAUGCGCAGAGUAUCAGGAGGAACACCGGUGGCGAAGGCGGGUCUCUGGGCCGU